rnacentral:sRNA from 1 species
GAGCAUAGCGAGAUAACGACGCGCGGCGGCGGCCCGAGGGUGAGGAACAACGUGACAAGCAAUCCUUCCCCCACCACCU